rnacentral:lncRNA from 1 species
CUACUUUAAACUUCAGUUAUCUUGUCUCUUUGAAAGAGGUUAUGUUAAACAGCUGAAAGGACUUAGUAACUACUAUGUGACCUUAGUCUAGGAUAUCCCAGCCUUAGACACUUUGUAGUAACCUCUCAUUUCAGCUGUUGUAGUUACCAUAAGACGGAGAAGGACAGGUCCUAGAAGUGAAUUAAUAGAACAGGUGUCUUUUUAUUUUUUUAGACCGAUCCAGCACUACGGUUAAUUGGAAAUAAAAACGUGUUCAAAACCCUUUAAAACAUACACGUUUGAAAACGUAUCAAACGUGUACUCAAUAUAAAGCACAUGACUGUAUCAACUAUCAACAAAUAAGUAAAUGAGAUUUUUUAGAUAUUUGAAACCAAUAACACAAGAUUAUACCAAUAACUCAAGGUCUGGGAGGAAACUCCAAGUAUUGGCAGACCUGCUCACAAGGUCAUUUUUGUACGUAGACGUUUGCAUUUCAGGACUUUUUACACUGUGUUAGAUCCGGGGGGAAUAUAGGGUGCCCACCAAGGUUUAAAUCAGAGAGUUUAGACUUAGAAUUUGUGGGAAAUUAAAUUUAUAUUUAAAGUUUUGGACACGUGAUAAAAUGUAUCUACAUAUAAAGCCUAAUAAACCAAAUUUUCAUGCAUAAUUUAGAACUAAUCAGAGCUUCAUACAUUUCUCACAUGGUUUAAACUUGAGUUGCUAUUUUAAUUACUUGUGACUCACCAAAUUUUUCAACAAGAUGACUUGAUUUUUUUGACUCGAGAAGACUUCCAAUAAAAGUAAUAGAAUUUUCAAAACAUUAUUUGUUUUCAAUAUUAAAGGAAAAUAAUUAUUAACACAGGAAACAUAUUUGAGAAUGUCUAACUUUUGUGAACUGCGUCAUAAGGUAUUUUAUAAAUUAGGUUGAGUAAAAAAUAGUUUCGAAUUUCCCGCCACUUUUUUUUAAAACUAAGUAUAUCUUGUUCAUCAUUCGUCACAUUGGAUACGAUAAGGUGUUGUAAAGAUUUGAGUGUUUACUAAUAACACUUUUCCGACAGUAUUGCGCUUGGCCAGUUAUGUCGUAAAUUAUUGUGCAUCGAGUAUGGAGGUCUCAACAUUUUUACUAUAAAAAAGGGAAAAACGUGUCAAAAGCGCCCAAGAAAAUUGGCGAUGUACACAGAGCCAAUACUCUUUCGUUUCAUGUUGCACAACAGUGGUUCAAGUAAUGUUUCCCCCACUCAAAUAUCCCCUCUAUCUUGAACAACUCGAACGUUUGAAAUUGGUGAUCGAACAAAAGAGGCCAGCAUUGGUAAAUAGGAGACAAAAAGACAUCAGCAAUACAAUCCUAGGACGAACGCAUCUUUGAUAAUACAUCAGAAGCUCCUGGAGCUCGGAUGGGAAGUUCUUAUACAUCCAUCCUACAGUCCUGACCUGCCACCAAGUGACUACCAUCUGUUCUUUUCCAUGUCCAAUGCACUUGUGGGUGCAAAUUUGGAGUCAAUAGAGGCGUGUGAAAAUUGAUUGUCCGAGUUUUUUUGCUAAUUGGGACAAGGAAGGACAAGUUAUCGAACAGAACAGGGCACACUUUGCUUAAAUCGGAUGAUUGUAAAACUUCUUAUAAAACAUUGAAAUAAAGUGAAAAUUACGAAA